rnacentral:lncRNA from 1 species
AUGCACCUAUCAGGGCAUUCCAGUAUCCGACAAAGAAUUGCCAAAAAACUGGUUCGACGAGGGUAUUCAGAUAAGGAUCUUAAACCCUUUUGUUCUGAAAGCUUGGCACAAAUCUAAGGUACAAUCUACUGAAAAAAAAAAAAAAAAAAAGAUCCACAGAAAAAAAAUAUACUGAAAACAAAAACUUCUGGUUUUUAACAGGUUAUGGAACACUAGUAGAAUCGUACCUUGAUGAGGGUUUCCCAAGAGACCCACUUUCAAUUUUUGGUCCCGUUUUAAAAACAAUAAGAAAACAAUUGAAAAAAGAUUUGAAAAAGCAUUUUUUUCUAGUU